AGUCACUGACAUUAGAUACCCGGGUAGUCCUAGCCGUAAACGAUACUCGCUAGGUGUCGGCCACGGUGCGACCGUUGUCGGUGCCGUAGGGAAGCCGUGAAGCGAGCCACCUGGGAAGUACGGCCGCAAGGCUGAAACUUAAAGGAAUUGGCGGGGAGGCACCACAACGGGUGGAGCUUGCGGUUUAAUUGGAUUCAACGCUGGAAAUCUUACCGGGACCGACAGCAACAUGAAGGCCAGGCUGAAGACUUUGCCGGAUUAGCUG
rnacentral:rRNA from 1 species